rnacentral:rRNA from 1 species
GAUGAACGCUGGCGGCGUGCCUAAUACAUGCAAGUCGAACGAACAGACGAGGAGCUUGCUCGUCUCACGUUAGCGGCGGACGGGUGAGUAACACGUGGAUAACCUACCUAUAAGACUGGGAUAACUUCGGGAAACGGGAGCUAAUACCGGAUAAUCUAUUGCACCGCAUGGUUCAAUAGUGAAAGACGGUUUUUCUGUCACUUAUAGAUGCUUACGCGCGGUAUUAGCUAGUUGGUAAGGUCACGGCCUACCACGGGAACUAUGCGUAACCGGCGUGCGAGGGGGGUCGCCCACAUGAGAACGGGGACAGCGUCCAGACUCCUGCGGUACGCAGCAGUAGGGUACCGGCCGCAGUGGUGGAAAGCUUUACGCAGCAAGGGCGCGUGUGAUAUGAAGGUCUUCCGAUCGUAAAACUCUCUUAUUGGUGAUGAACAACUUUGUAAGUAAAUAUGCACUUCUUGACGGUACCUAAUCAGGAAGCCACGGCUAACUACGUG